rnacentral:rRNA from 1 species
UACGAAGGGGGCAAGCGUUGUUCGGAAUUACUGGGCGUAAAGGGCGCGUAGGCGGCUUAUCAAGUCAGGCGUGAAAUUCCCGGGCUCGACCUGGGGGCUGCGUUUGAUACUGAUGAGCUUGAAUGCGGGAGAGGAUAGUGGAAUUCCCAGUGUAGAGGUGAAAUUCGUAGAUAUUGGGAAGAACACCGGUGGCGAAGGCGGCUCACUGGCUCAUAUCUGACGCUCAGGCGCGACAGCGUGGGGAUCAAACAGG